UCUGUCCUCUGAUCAGUCAUGUGUAAUAAGUACCACAGAGGAAGAAGUACCACCAGACUGUAUAUGUCCUCUCUCUGUCCUGUAAUAAGU